CCAAUAGCGUAUAUUAAAGUUGUUGCAGUUAAAAAGCUCGUAGUUGAAUUUCGGGAUCGACGGGUCGGUCGCGCCUCCGGUGUGUACUGGCCCUGUCGGUUUCUCCCUUCUGACAAACUGCGAUGUCAUUAAUUUGGUGUCGUAGGGAAUCAGGACUGUUACUUUGAAAAAAUUAGAGUGUUUAAAGCAGGCACACGCUUGAAUACAUUAGCAUGGAAUAAUGAAAUAGGACGUUUUGAUCUUAUUUUGUUGGUUUCUAAGAUCGACGUAAUGAUUAAUAGGGAUAGUUGGGGGCAUUAGUAUUCAAUUGUCAGAGGUGAAAUUCUUGGAUUUAUUGAAGACUAACUACUGCGAAAGCAUUUGCCAAGGAUGUUUUCAUUAAUCAAGAACGAAAGUUAGGGGAUCGAAGACGAUCAGAUACCGUCGUAGUCUUAACCAUAAACUAUGCCGACUAGGGAUCGGAUGAUGUUAAUUUUUUAAUGACUCAUUCGGCGCCUUACG
rnacentral:rRNA from 1 species